ACUUUCUCGCCCGCCCUCUCCUGCGCGCCCUGGCCCCACUCGCGCGGGCUCUCUCUUUUUCCCGUUGCACCAGCGUCGGGAUGAAGUCGGGAGCAAAGCCCUUCCCGGGGCGGUCCAGCGUUCACCUUCGGCGAGCACCUAAGGUGCCGCUGCUGCUGGGGUCGCUUCUACACCCCAAACUACCUAGCAAGUGUUGGGCGAGAGGAUGGGGAGCUGCUGUGCCCCGGGGGUGGCGGGGGGUAAGGUGGGCCCUUCCCCAAACGGCUCUGGGGCAUGGAGAGGUACAGAACGUCCUCCGGGUUCAGAGUUUCCAAGUGCGUGCGCUGGUUGACGCCUGAAGGAGACCAAGCAGCAGGGAACACUCUCUCUGUCACCCAGGGAGAGCCCGAGUGGCCAGAAUCCGAAGUCACCAUUAGACACUCUCUCUGCGCUCUUGGACACCUCCAGAGAAAAAGCCAGCACAUCCUGCCUUGGCUGGAAAAGCCAGCCUUCCACCCAGCGCCCCUAAAAUGAUCGGGUUGACUCCAGUUUUGUUACGAAAGGAGGCCGGGCUGCUGAGAGGCUCCCUGAGUUCCCUUCGUGGUCGCCCGUCACAUUGCCCUGCUGUAUACUUAAUAAAGCCCGUGUUUAUCUUUCUCUUUAGAACCCCCUCUAAGCAGACCCAUCGCUUUAUUGCUUUAAAACAUACACUAAGUGGUGAGUGGAGCUGGGGCGAGGGAGGUGCG
rnacentral:lncRNA from 1 species